AUUGAACGCUGGCGGCAGGCCUAACACAUGCAAGUCGAACGAGUGGCGGACUGGUGAGCAAUGUCUUGGCAACUGCCUGAUGGAGGGGGCUAACUACUGGAAACGGUAUCUAAUACCGCAUACCAUCGGAUGUGCCCAGAUGGGAUUAGCUAGUAGGUGGGGGAAAGGCUUACCUAGGCGACGAUCCCUAGCUGGUCUGAGAGGAUGACCAGCCACAAUGGAAAGGAGACACGGUCCAGACUCCUACGGGAGGCAGCAGUGGGGAAUAGUGCACAAUGGGCGAAAGUCUGAUGCAGCCAUGCCGCGUGUAUGAAGAAGGCCUUCGGGUUGUAAAGUACUUUCAGCGGGGAGGCGUUACCCGCAGAAGAAGCAACGGCUAACUCCGUGCCAGCAGCCGCGGUAAUAC
rnacentral:rRNA from 1 species